CACCCCCAUCUCACCCCAACUCGCUUUCACUGUUAGAGAGGGCUGUGCUUUCGUUUAGUUUCUAACCGUUGGCCUCAGUUGUGCCCUCGGGGUCCUCUUAUAUAAGACACCCUCAAGACAGCCAUCAUGUCAGUUCCCCUAUCAUAUACUUUCUAAACUAAAUAUCUAAAGUUCCUUCAAUUAGCUUCUGUGACAUCUAUCAUGAUGAAACUGCUCCUGGUCUCUAUGUCUCAUCUUUGAAAGCCUUUGCUGAGGGAUUUGCCCGGGUACCUUAACUCCAGGGACUUUCAAGUUUUUAAGUGAAAUCAUGAAGGAAUGUCUGGAAAUUAUUUGAAUUCCUCCAAAGGAGAGCAGUUUUUGUGGUUGUCACUCGAGAAAAGCCUAUGAACGUAAAGAGAGGUAAUAUGAUCAAGCUGGACUCCACCUUACGUGGUUAGGGCAAGUGAGGAAUUGAUGGCAACUGGGAGCCAGCUUUACUCAAGACGUUAAGAAUCUGUGCUACCUCUGAUUUCUUAACAUGUGUAACUUAGACUCCAAAACUGUUUUCGUCUCGCUACAAUAUGAAGGCUUUGCAAGAUCAGCUCAGAGACACAUCCAUACUGCUCUCUGCACCCAGCAACCACGUCUGGACAGCUGUACUGAACAACUAAUGCAGUUCUGACACAAGUGGUAGAUUUGAGUAACUAACGCUGCCUCUCUGUUGUUUUUUUCCUCCCCUUCUUAAUCAAUACCCGUAUAAUUGAUCAGGUAGGCCAUAUGGCCCCUGUGAUUCCCACAUUAAGACAAUUAGGACAGCAGCCAGGUCAUUGCUCAAGCUGGCAUUCUUCAUAACUAAGACAAGAAAACCUAACUCUUUGUCUUCCUCAGAAAAAGCCAACUCCACCUGCUCGUGGGUAUGAUUCAGUACGAAUUCAUGUAAUAUCUAGCUAAAAAGGAGUACAGCCACACUUAGAAAAAAUAUCGCCUAAAAGUGAAUUGUAUGCCAGUAAGUUUCCCCCUGCAGAAUCCAGACUGAAAUGUGAUAGUAAAAAUCUAAUGUGAUAGUGAAACUCUAACUCAAGAAGAGUGAGUAUACAGUGUAGACUAAGAUCUUACACUCUGAGAGAGAGCUGCUGGUCACUGGAGAGUAGGUAGACUCUCCUACUCUAGGACCGAGGGUCAGAGAGGAGGAGUUCGGAGACUGGGGGAUUCUCACAGCUGUGAGCUCUAAAAUGAUGGAGCAGGGGGGGAGGACUUAGAAAUGCAAGGCCAAGUGUAAGGAAAGAUAAAAGACCUAUUUUCUGGCAUCAGGAUUUAUGGAAGGAACCGCUCCCACACUGCAACCCUCUUUUAAUAAGAGAAAGUAACAAGCUAAACAGCAUGUCAUAGCUGAGAUUUCUGGAAAGUCAGCCAUUCUCAGCAUCAUGGAAUCUGUGAAUCGGGAGCCAAUGGGAAGCAAAACAAGUAGCAGUUUGAACAUAGAAUUAUUAUUUUAUUUAGAACAGAAAGAGAAAAUUUACUAAAUAUAUUUACUAAACAUAGGCUAAACAUAUGACCUAUUGGCCAGGAGAUUUAUGCUUCCCUACGUGAUAUGUUCUCCUAACUCCAACCCCCAACCCCCAAGCAGGAGCAGUGGAGGAAGCAAGAACCACCACAGCAGGGUUAGUCCUGGAAACGAUAUUGUGCACCAGCAGACUUCUUGCAGAAGGUUUGCAAGCAUAAGAGAGACCCCUGAAGUACCUGGGCAGCCCACCCACUACUGAAACAAGACAAAAGUGCCUCUGGGAAGGAGAUGACAAAUAUUCCUCUUGUCCUCUUGUCUUCCAUCACUCAAACCAAUUAAAAAGUAGAAUAAAAGUACCUAAAAAGAGGCAAACAACAGCAAUCAAUUCUCCCAGUUUAUAAUCAAACAGGAUUUCAGCAACCAAUGUUGUUAAAAAAAAUUUUUCUACCAUAUGCCUCAUGUGUUACUCUAGUAAAUGAAUUCUUUCAUCAUCAAGAGAGUUUAUAUGACAUUCUCUUGAUGAUGAAAGAAUUUAUUUCCUAGAACAAAACUCUGGAAAAAGUCAUGUUAAGAAUCAUGCUGGCAAGAUUCUUUAUGACCCAGCUCCUAGAGAAAUGGAAAUAAAAACAAAAAUAAACAAAUGGGACCUAAUGAAGCUUAAAA